GAAACCACAUAGGCUUUUGCUCAUGCACUGUAUUUGUCUGAGCAUGCACCAUGCUUGUCUGCUCAUACCUCAUGGUUCCUGAGCAGGAAUCUUUUUUUUUCUGUUUCU
rnacentral:pre_miRNA from 14 species